UAUACUUCUUAGAGUU
rnacentral:tRNA from 1 species